rnacentral:rRNA from 1 species
GUCGAGCGAGGUUACUGUUUUGGAUCCCUUCGGGGUGAAGAAGCUUUAACCUAGCGGCGGACGGGUGAGUAACGCGUGGGUAACCUACCCCAAAGUCCGGGAUAACAGCGGGAAACCGCUGCUAAUACCGGAUGCCUUUACCUUGGGGCAUCUUGAGGUAAAGAAAGGUAACGCUUUGGGAUGGGCCCGCGUCCCAUUAGCUAGUUGGUGAGGUAACGGCUCACCAAGGCGACGAUGGGUAGCCGGCCUGAGAGGGUGGACGGCCACACUGGGACUGAGACACGGCCCAGACUCCUACGGGAGGCAGCAGUAGGGAAUAUUGCGCAAUGGACGGAAGUCUGACGCAGCGACGCCGCGUGAGCGAUGAAGGUCUUCGGAUCGUAAAGCUCUGUCCUUGGGGAAGAAGGUCUUCGGACUUGACGGUACCCAAGAAGAAAGCCCCGGCUAACUACGUGCCAGCAGCCGCGGUAAUACGUAGGGGGCGAGCGUUGUCCGGAAUUACUGGGCGUAAAGGGUGCGUAGGCGGCCCUUUAAGUCGGAUGUGAAAGCCCGCGGCUUAACCGCGGAAUGGCAUUCGAAACUGGAGGGCUUGAGUGUCGGAGAGGGUAGUGGAAUUCCCAGUGUAGCGGUGAAAUGCGUA